UUGGAGGGCAAGUCUGGUGCCAGCAGCCGCGGUAAUUCCAGCUCCAAUAGCGUAUAUUAAAGUUGUUGCAGUUAAAAAGCUCGUAGUUGAAUUUCGGGAUCAGCAGGUCGGUCGUGCCUUCGGUACGUACUGGUGUCGCUGAUUCCUCCCUUCUGACGAACCGUGAUGCCAUUAAUUUGGUGUUGCGGGGAAUCAGGACUGUUACUUUGAAAAAAUUAAAGUGUUUAAAGCAGG
rnacentral:rRNA from 1 species